CAGUGGUGCAGCCGCUACUAAUGGUUCGUUUGUUCAACGAUUAAAACCCUACGUGAUCUGAGUUCAGACCGGAGUAAUCCAGGUCGGUUUCUAUCUAUAUCANGAGCUUAUUCCAGUACGAAAGGACCGAAAAAGCGUGGCCUAUACCUAAAGCAAGCCAUCACUAUAAACUUAUGACCCCAACUUAAUUAAUUAAUAGUCUCUCACACCCCCNUCAAGACCAGAGGA
rnacentral:rRNA from 1 species